UACAGAGGUCCCAAGCGUUGUUCGGAUUUACUGGGCGUAAAGGGUGCGUAGGUGGCGGGGUAAGUCUGGUGUGAAAGCUCCGAGCUCAACUCGGAAAAGCAUUGGAAACUAUCCCGCUUGAGGGUCGGAGGGGAGACUGGAAUUCUCGGUGGUAGCAGUGAAAUGCGUAGAUAUCGAGAGGAACACCAGUGGCGAAGGCGGGUGCUGG
rnacentral:rRNA from 1 species